GUGUCUCAGCGGCCGCGAGGGGCGGGGCGGGCGCGCGCCCGGGCGGGCUGCCCGCCGGUCGGGAGAGGGGUGGGGAGGCGGCGAGGAAAAGUAAAGUGACAGCUGGGUCCCGCGCGCAGACCGGGCUCUGACGGGGAUUGCUGGCAAAGCCCAUUAAGUUCAUGAAUCUCUGCAGAAGUGAGUGUAAAUUGAAGAAAAGGCUGCACUUCUCGCCUAGGCAGAUAAUCAUAGUGAUUUAUGUCUUGUUGGCUUGGCCCCUGAAUCCCACCCAUGUGUGUUGCCUUCAUGGAUACUUCAUGGCAAGAAGAGCUGACUCAGUCGGGUGUGGUGGCUCACACCUGUAAUUCCAGCACUUUGGGAGGCCGAGGUAGGUGGAUCACCAGAGAUUGGGAGUUCGAGACCAACCUGACCAACAUGGAGAAACCCCAUCUCUACUAAAAAUACAAAAUUAGCCAGGUGUGGUGGUGCAUGCCUGUAAUCCCAGCUACUUGGGAGGCUGAGGCAGGAGAAUCGCUUGAACCUGGGAGACAGAGGUUGUGGUGAGCCAAGAUUGCGCCAAGAGUGAAACUCUGCCUACAAAAAAAAAAAAAAAAAAAAAGAGGUUGACUCUGCAGGUGAAUUUCAAACAUUAAUCCAUGUGCCCAUGAUCUCUAGGAGUGUGGAUUUCGAAGAUAGGGGCAUCCGGAACUAUUUGUAACUGAAAGUACCAACCUCCACCCUUUGGGUGGAAAAUAAAAGUAUUCUUGGCUAUCUGUGCAGCACUCUUAAGGAACUGGGUGCUAAGCUAUUGAAAAUUUCUAGUUGUUGUCUGAACACCUUCUUUUUUUCUCACUGCAACCUCCACCUCCUAGGUUCAAGUGAUUCUCCUGCCUCAGUCUCCUGAGUAGCUGGGACUACAGGCGUGUGCUACCACGCCCAGCUAAUUUUUGUAUUUUUAGUAGAGACGGAGUUACACCAUGUUGGCCAUGCUGGCCUCGAACUCUUGACCUCAGGUGAUCUGCCUGCCUUGGCCUCCCAAAGUGCUUGGAGUAUAGGUGUGAGCCAAUGCACCUGGCCUUGAACAUCUUAUUGACACUAUUUCACCAGCCAUGUUACAUACAGCAGAAUGGGGGUAGUGAUAUAUACAAUCUAUAAUUA
rnacentral:lncRNA from 1 species